rnacentral:tRNA from 1 species
GAGGGUAUAGCUCAGUGGUAGAGUACAUGCCUAGCAUGCACAAGGUCCUGGAUUCAAUCCCCAGUACCUCCA